AAAUCUACUUAUAUUUCAAAAUAAAUUUAAAAUUCCCAAGCGUUGUUGCGUCUACCUGUAAUCUUCUACCAUGCUAAUGAAUAUAUAGACAACGGAGUGUUAGUUUUGUUUUUUUUUUUUUUUUAUACAUGUGGCACCAAGCCAGCUGAUUGUGCCAGUCGAUCUACUCGGCUUCGGGACAUUUCAUUGUUUUCCAGGAAUUUCACUUAAUUGUUCCCGCGGUAUACAUUUAUAUUUAAUUAUGGAAAAAAUUCCCACUGUCAAAUUGUUGCGAAGUGCUGUAGGAGUAAAACUAAUUUUUGAGUGGAAGGACCUCUGGUGGAGGCAAUUUCUCCUACGCAGCGGCCACAAAGUCAGCGGAAGCUAAUGCAGGCACCCCGAAGGGCAGACAGCAGCGAUGUCUGUAAUGGACUGCGGUACUCACAAUAACAAUAAUUUUGCAUCAAAUAGCGAGUGGUAAUUGCAGUGGAUAACCAAAUGAAAAGGUCUAUUGCCAGCUAUUUUGAAUCGGUGGUUUUUCCAACCAACAAUACUUUUCCUCAACUGUUGACGAUAAACUAAUGCAUUCCAAUAGCAGCAUUUUUUUUUUUUUUUUGUACUUCUACGUCGUUAAGUAUGUUGGUGGUUAGAACACUUUCGUGCCCAUUCACCAUGACCGGUUAUUGGUUGCUUGAAAAGUAUCAGUACUCUUUUAUUUUCGUUUUCGUUUUGUUUACAGUAUAUGUGUGUUUACAGAAUGUAGUGAUAUGAAUGGAAUACAUAAGAAAUCAAAACAAAACAAAAAAAUCAAAACUAAAAGAAAAAAAUAAAGAACUGUAAGCAAAUAUGAUGAUUAUUUACAAAUAAAAGUCAAACUUAAAUUUUGCAAAGUGCAAUAAAUUUGAUUAAUUUAUCUAUAUUUUGUUGGUUUUUGGACAUCAGGAUUUCCGUUUCACAAAGAUUUGAGUCAGCAAUUCCAAUCCUGUGGAAAUAUUUUUUGGUGUAAGUAUGACCAGUGAGCAAUCGAUUAACAAUCUUUAUGUUUUCAGGUUUCAUGUUUGAUGAAAAGAACCAGGGCUGUUUAGCAGGCGCCGGGAGGAAUUGUUAGAAGUAAGUUCCUUUAGUCCGUGAGAUGUCCUUGUAAUUUUCUAUAAACUCAUUCCACAGGAGUGACUCAAUGCGUUUCGACGCAUCUGUGACCGACAGACAGAAGUUGAUUGGUGUACCAACAUUUGCUGCAUGCUUCGCAAAAUAAUCGGCUGUUUCAUUGAUUGGUAUACCGACAUGGGAAGGUGUCCAAACAAACGAGAUUUUAUUUAAAUGCGAAUUAACUAUUUUGUUUAGAAUAUUGUACACAGUAAAAUUGUGAGAUGUGUUGUUUUUAAGCAGAAGACAAGCAUUUUUGCUGUCUGUAAAUAAAGCAGCUGUGCUGACACCGUCUUCGAUCAUCAAA